ACGCUCGACACCUACGGGAGCAGCAGUGGGGAAUAUUGCACAAUGGGGGAAACCCUGAUGCAGCGACGCCGCGUGGAGGAAGAAGGUCUUCGGAUUGUAAACUCCUGUUGUUGAGGACGAUAAUGACGGUACUCAACAAGGAAGUGACGGCUAACUACGUGCCAGCAGCCGCGGUAAUCUGAGCGGGCUGGCAAGGC
rnacentral:rRNA from 1 species